GACGAACGCUGGCGGCGUGCUUAACACAUGCAAGUCGAACGGUAAGGCCUUUCGGGGUACACGAGUGGCGAACGGGUGAGUAACACGUGGGUGAUCUGCCCUGCACUUCGGGAUAAGCCCGGGAAACUGGGUCUAAUACCGGAUAGGACUGCGCGGUGCAUGCCGUGUGGUGGCAAGAUUUAUCGGUGCAGGAUGGGCCCGCGGCCUAUCAGCUUGUUGGUGGGGUAAUGGCCUACCAAGGCGACGACGGGUAGCCGGCCUGAGAGGGCGACCGGCCACACUGGGACUGAGACACGGCCCAGACUCCUACGGGAGGCAGCAGUGGGGAAUAUUGCACAAUGGGCGCAAGCCUGAUGCAGCGACGCCGCGUGAGGGAUGACGGCCUUCGGGUUGUAAACCUCUUUCAGCAGGGACGAAGCGUGAGUGACGGUACCUGCAGAAGAAGCACCGGCCAACUACGUG
rnacentral:rRNA from 1 species